rnacentral:rRNA from 1 species
CAGUAGCCGCGGUAAUACGUAGGGGGCAAGCGUUAUCCGGAUUUACUGGGUGUAAAGGGAGCGUAGACGGAAUGGCAAGUCUGAAGUGAAAUGCCCGGGCUCAACCCGGGAACUGCUUUGGAAACUGUCGAUCUGGAGUGUUGGAGAGGUAAGUGGAAUUCCUGGUGUAGCGGUGAAAUGCGUAGAGAUCAGGAAGAACACCGGAGGCGAAGGCGGCUUACUGGACAAAGACUGACGUUGAGGCUCGAGAGCGUGGGAAGCAAACAGGAUUAGAUACCCGAGUAGUCCCUGUCUCUUAUAC